CUUAACCUUGAUAUUCUGUAUAUGCUUUAAAUAUAUUUCAUGGUGGCUCCGUACUAACCCCUACUUUCUCUGCUGUGCUUUUUUCCGUUGUUCUGUGUUGGUGAUCUGUGCCCCCACCACCCCAUCAAAGCACCGUGAUGUCCUUAUGUUGAUGGAUCAAAGGCCAGAGGUCCACAUGACUACCAUCGUCUUAAUUCCCCCAUGUGAAGCCUGAAAACCAUGAGGACUGAGUGAGAUCACUCCUAUUAGGUUGAAUGCCUAGUGUGGGCUGGGUGGUCUCGUGGCCUCAGAACCCCUGCAGAUUUUGUUUUGUUUAUCCAACCUAACUGGAGUUUUUUUUUUUGGUCUGUCCUCCCUUGCUUUAUUGUCUAGCAGCACCAAAACAGUGUCUGUUAUGUCAGUGUCACAUUCCUGGGAGUUCAAAGGUGUAAUCAUCAUUUGGUGGUACAUAUCGGGCAAGUAAUUAGCCCCCAGUAGCAACAUAUAAAGGGCCAGAACCAAAUAGACAACUUGGAAGAUUCUAGAACAAUCUCCCUGAACUCUAACCUGUGUUCGUAGCCAUUAUCCACCAUAUAUUUGUAAUCCUCUUCCUGCAUAUAAUUUUGAGUUUGUUGAUAAAUGAAUUACUGCAGACCACAUCUGAUGUUUGACUCUACUAUCAAGUGUUUUAAUGGUGAAAAGAUGCAAUCCUUUUGUCCCCCUGAGGGCACAGGCCUGUGGUUCACAGUCUGAAUAUUCAUCAUUGGUGUCAGCACACACUCUGUACAUCACGGAUGACUCAAACGUGGCCAUGUUCCCCGGAGGAGCCUCUGGUGUUUUCAGCACGUUAGACCUGACACCCAGAGGUCACUAUGAGGUCCACGGAGAAGAUAUGGAAUCAAUGCCAGCAGCAGGUUCCAGCGGUCAGCGUUUCGCAUUUAUGCGAGCACCGGCUGUGGCGGCAGCUGCCGCUUCACAUUCCCAACGUGCUACAUCAAGUCCCCCUGUGACCUCCAAAACAUUUCAGAGAUCAGUGUACCUUGCAGAGGUGGUUGGUGGGAGGCUGAUUCCCAACAGAAUGGUGGUUGUACGAUUUUUAGAAUGUGAGGCUACACUUCAGGGGAGAGUAGGAAAAGUUCAAGAUGCCAUUGGCAAUUACAAGCCCAUAAUUUUGACAGAUGCACAGGGCAAUGCAAUUCUGGAGUCAGAAGGCACAACAGGAUCACAGUACUGGAAACAAAAUGCACGAAAAGUUCUUGCUGUACCUGAACAAGACUUUAAUAGCCUCCAGGGAACAAAGAGGAGGAGACUGAGCAACCGUAAAGAUGAUGACAGUGCUGGUUUGGGAGAAGUCGGUGGCAAAAUAGAAGAGUUGGUGAUGGCAUCUCAAAGUCUACCAGCUGUUACAGCAGCAAUCAGAGAGAUCACGGAUCUUGCAGUUACUCAGAGAGUCGUACUCACUGCUCCCAAACUGCAGACCAUCAAGGAGGGAUUUAGCUGUGUGGUUUGUAGGAGUAUGUUCACAAUUUGCAAAACAUCAUUGAGGAACCAGUGCUGUCACGGUGCUGCAGAAGCAUUAUUGGCUGCAAGACAUGUGUGGAGCAGUGGCUAGAGACAUCUCCGCAUUGUGCAAAACGCAGGGAGGCCAACAGCGGUGGUAUAGAAGUUACUGGUCUAACAGAACGUGGAUAACCGAAGUGGUGAGGAAGCUUUGACUCUCCUACCUGCGACAGCAACUGCCAGACCUGCGCCCUUCGUCUCCCAGAGUGCCUGAUCAAAUUGCUGGGCUGCCAGCAGAGCUACAGAGUGGACGCUGAGGAAAAGAGAGCAGGUGUCCGACUCCACAACAAGAAAAGAAGCACAGACCGUAGCUGCCAUCGGUCAUCAUGGGCAACAUAAAAUCAAACGCUGGUCGGGUGCCAAAGGGAAUACAAACUCAGCAGUCUAAUGUGUUUCAGUGAGACGAGGCUUAGAGCUGAAACAGCGGACUCUGUGGGUGCACCGGAUGGAUUUAAAAUUGUGUGGAUGGACAGAAGAAGUGAAAGCAGUAGGAAGAAAGAAGGCGGACUUGCCAUCGUUGUGAAUGAAAAAUGGUGCAACAGCGGACACCACUAUUAAAGCACAGGAUGCCCAGUGGUAUCCAGCCUUCCAUGUGACUGAACAGAUGCCAGUGUACCCGCAUUCUGAGACACAACUGGAUGUUCUUUUCUUCUGCUUUUAAGAUUUCCAGUUCAAGAAGAUGUGCAGUUCUUGUUAGAUUUGCUAUUUCUGCAGACAGAAAGCCUCAGAGUGUGAAUCCUCACAAACACAGAG